AUUUAAAUUUGACAGGUGUUUUGGCGUUAAUUGGACUUUCCUGAACUCUCUUGCAAUAAGACUUAUUUUUGUUAAUUUACUGACGUACGCUAUCGAUUGGAUUUCUGUCGAAUUGUUGCUGAGACGUAGCCUACACCUAGCUGUCCUUUCACCAGUUCCUUUCAACACUUGUGAUAAACAACUUUGGUAGCAGAGAAUGCCUAAAAACCGCUGCUUCACUUGACUGUUGCCUUCAAGGACGGACGGCCAUGACCACUUCAGGCUUCAACACCCAGCAUGCAACGUUAUAAAGGACCUUAUUGUGAAGGAGGAUUUGUAAAGAAUGAACUUCGUGUAGACCCGCCAUCAAGAAGACCUUCAAAUAACGAAAUCAAAGAUGUAUCCCUUUUACAAGUUUGUUGAGCCAUUCCUGCCAGAAGCAAGUCUGGGAGUGAGAAGAGUUCCAUACAUCAUUGUGCUGAGGCAUUACUGUGGGUAAUGAAGUGUGAACUAGGAGCAGCACUUCGUUUUGUCAUAAAGAGUGGGAGGGAGCUCGCUGUAGCACAAGGAGAUUGUGGACAGUCUUCAGGCGAUUACAGCAAAGUGCCUCAAAUUACAGUUGUCAGUAAAAAAAAAAAAAUGAACUCUUGAUUUCCUGCCAUUGCUUUACCUUUCACCUGGAAGUCAUAGGCAACAUGAGCAUUUCUCAGUCACAUCUGGAUAGAUGAAAUGUUUACAGUUGUUUUUACUCUUGUACAUGCAGCAUGCCAAAUGCAAAAUAAAAUGUAAUGUUGUAUUGGUGUUGCAAACCAUGCUGGGUGCAAUUCGGGAUAUGGUCUAACAUAGAGGGCAAAUAUAAUGCACCAAAAUGCAUACAGCAGAAGUACAAGGAGGGAAAGAUAAAUUGAAGAAAAAAGAAAGAUGACAAAUGAAGCCCAGCCAACUCGAUUAAUUGUGCCGUUUAGCUGUUUUCGAGAUCAGGGAGUGGCAUUUUUUCCACACACCGCUUAUUGGUGUAGUUCCAUCUGGGAGGAGUAAAAAUAAAGUGUGUAGCUUAGAGAGAAAGAUGCUUUAACACCUUUUUCGACAUCUGGUUUGAACAAUGAGAUAACACAUAAGUAAUCUUUCUUGAUUGUAUAUUUACACUUGUUUUUUUUCAAUAUCUUAUAGCUAUCAAAAUAUCCAAAAGACACAUGCAGUAGUUAGGUGUUAAUAUGGUAUCUGUGUGCCCAGUAUUAGCUAUCCUUAUGUAAAAUUUCAAGUAGACUGACCAGUUGGACAAAUUACUCACAGCAGCAGCUGAUUUUGUUCGGUUAGUUUGUUCCAUAAUGAAUAAUGAAAAUAGUUUCACAAAGGUGUUAUUCAUUGGAUGGCUUAUUUGUAGGAUUACAUUGCAAUGGUCCCGUCUGUUUUUCGGUAUACUGGAUUGUUUUGACAUCACCUUUUGUUUCGUAAUUUUUCAUUUACCUCAUCUAGCAACAAGCCUUUUCUUAUACAUUUAGUACAACCCCAAGAAAAAUAACCCGCAGGCUGAAGCUGAUGGAAACAUUCAGAGGCUUACAUUUCUAGGCCAACACACAUGAUUUUACAGCAUGAUUUAUUGUCCGCCCAGACAUUGCCCCAGGAUAUCUUAGAUAAGUGCACUGCAUUAA